rnacentral:tRNA from 1 species
GGUCAACCUAGCUCCUAGAGGUAGAGCAUCAGACUUUUAAUCUGAGGGUCAAGGGUUCAAGUCCUGUUCAGGUGACCA